AUUGAACGCUGGCGGCAGGCCUAACACAUGCAAGUCGAACGAGUGGCGGACGGGUGAGUAAUGUCUGGGAAACUGCCCGAUGGAGGGGGAUAACUACUGGAAACGGUAGCUAAUCCCGCAUACCAUCGGUUGUGCACAGAUGGGAUUAGCUAGUAGGAGGGGUAACGGCUAACCUAGGCGACGAUCCCUAGCUGGUCUGAGAGGAUGACCGGCCACACUGGAACGGAGACACGGUCCAGAUUCCUACGGAAGGCAGCAGAGGGGAAUAUGGCACAAUGGGCGCAAGCCGGAUGCAGCCAUGCCGCGUGGAUGAAGAGGGCCUUCGGGUUGUAAAGUACUUUCAGCGGGGAGGCGUUACCCGCAGAAGAAGCACCGGCUAACUCCGUGCCAGCAGCCGCGGUAAUUC
rnacentral:rRNA from 1 species